rnacentral:rRNA from 1 species
UGAUGACUGGGGUGAAGUCGUAACAAGGUAGCCGUACCGGAAGGUGUGGCUGGAUCACCUCCUUA